CUGCUGCCUCCCGUAGGAGUUUGGACCGUGUCUCAGUUCCAAUGUGGGGGACCUUCCUCUCAGAACCCCUAUCCAUCGAUGCCUUGGUGGGCCGUUACCCGCCAACAAGCUAAUGGAACGCAUCCCCAUCGAUGACCGAAAUUCUUUAAUAGUUCUACCAUGCGGAAGAACUAUGCCAUCGGGUAUUAAUCUUUCUUUCGAAAGGCUAUCCCCGAGUCAUCGGCAGGUUGGAUACGUGUUACUCACCCGUGCGCCGGUCGCCAU
rnacentral:rRNA from 1 species